GGGUUAAAAACAGGAACAGAGUUAGCCUUAAAGACACCUUUGUCAUAAAAAAAAAGCUCGGUUUUUAUAUUAGAUUAUCAAUGAAGGUGGGCAGCGGCAGCCACAAAACCCUUACAGCUUCUAAACACAAUUACUACCACUUGAAUUUUGUCACAUUUUUCCAGGUUGCAACCACAAAUUUCAAUGCGUCUUAUUGGGAUUUUAUCUUACAGAACAACUCUCUUAAGUGGAUGUAAAACAACACAUGGGUUUCAAAAAUAUUCAAAGAGAGGCAUGCAUUUGUAUUCUUCACUCUCCUUUACUCUGAUGUCUCAAAAUAAAAACUUAUAGCACCACUUAGAGCAGUCACUGAAGAAGCAGAGAAAGGGUCCAUGGAAGGUUAGGAAAAUCUGCUGACAGGACAGGUGUUAGCCAUGCACUCUACAAAUCUGGCCAUCACAAGAGUGGCAAGACGAAAAUCAUCAAGUGUUUUUAAAAUAUAAGAGUGAUAGAAAGGUUCAUUUUAGCAGUUUUUCUGUGUGUCGUCAUGCAAAUCCACAUAGACGUCCCACAACAGAUUGAAGUUUGCAGAAUACAGAUUAGUUCAAGGGGAUGAAUACUUCUGCAAGGAACUGUACAUUUUAACAUGCAAUUCUUAAGUACUUUUCAUAAUUACGAUGGAGCAUUUUCCCGCUGUAAUAGCCAGAUGUUCGCGACACCUGGUAAAGUUUAUUUGUCUCCAAUUACACAGAAUGCGGUUUUUAAGAUCAAAAAGACGCUGCAGUUCGGAGACUAUUUGGAUUGGCAGAACAGAAAGGUAACAAGUUUUAGAGACAGAUGGCGAGUCUUUAUUUUAUGAUUCAAGUCUUUGCAAAGAAAAUUACGGCAAGAGUUGGGAUGAAGUCAGGAAAGCAAAUGACAAAAGGAUUAUUACUGAUUAAAAUUUAGGAGAGGAGGGGAACAAAACAUGCUCAACCAGACAGUUCUGAAGCAAAUUAUGUCCUUGCUGGUUUUUCUGAUGUACACUCUAACUUCAAGGCCUCAUUACAGACGGGGAUACAUAACCAUGCAUGCUAAUCGACCCAACUGAGCUGGACUAUGUCUGAUUAAGAGUAAAAACGUAGGAUGGCUAAACAGAAUACAGAACUUUUUUUUUUUUUUACAUCACAAUAAUAAGAUCACAAUAAAGUCAAUUAUUAGUGUGUGUUUUUUACUAAAAGAAGCAAAACCUAACUGCUAAUUGUUCUAAGUUGAUGUUGGUAAUUUUCUCUCCUGCAUUAGACACUUUAACACUGAGAUCCGUCAACUGAAUGCUGCAGUAUGCGUGAAGUAAAGUAAAAAAACAAAACAAUGUAAUCAACUGAGGGACAUUGCGUUCCUAAGGUGGAUGUAUUUGUGGAAAACGUUCAGAGCGUUAUCAGAAAUCCAUCACCUCAAAGUGGCGUUUGCCUGAUGGCGCUUCUGUUCUUGGAAUUUCUUUCUGAAAUUUAAACUCAGCCCUGCAGCGAAAACACACACAUGUUGACUUGAAAACCUGUUCCAGACACGCACCGCUUCUUGCUGAUUUGGAGGCAACUUGGCGUUAAGUAUGUACAGUGAAUGCCAAGAUGCUAUCUUGCAGGCCUUUUUUUGACAAUCAACACACACCUGCCUUACUAGAAUGAAUUUAUGGUGAGCUCCCUUGUAUUAUCUAUUUUGAGGAGUAGCUAAUAGAAAUGUGAGAAGUUAAGAAAAGGAAUUUAUAUGCACAGAGAAAGGU